rnacentral:lncRNA from 1 species
AUGAGCCUGCUGGGUGGCAUCUUGGCAUCGUCGUCCAGCAAAGCCUCAGCUGGACUUGGGGGGGGGGAAGGGAGCAGAGGGAAAAGGCCCCAACGGGUCUCAGAGGUCACAGAUGCCACCAACAAGCCGCAGACACUUGACUUUGGCCCAGGACAGAGAGGAGCAUCAGGAUUUGCCCAGGCAAGGGGAAAUGGCUGUUUGAGGGACUCUGCAGGUGGGGGGAUCUUCCCUCUGCAGGAAGCCAUCUUGGCCCCCUUGUUAAGAGGCCUAAGUGGCUCUUGCUUAAGAGGAAGCAGGCAAAGAGCCUGGAGCGCAGGGUCCCUGCAGGGCUUCCCUCCAGGGCUGGCCUGCAAUAGCAGCCCUGGCCCAGCCCUUUGCAGGGGAGGUGCAGAGCAGCGGUCUGGCACUCAGGAUUCUGGGGCCUGGUGGCCUGCCCUGCUUGCUCGCCUGGCACAAAGGCCAUCGGGUCUGCAGGUGUGGCGCCCCAAGACCAGCCGAGGGCACAGAGCCCUUGGGCAGGCACGGGGGGCGCCCGUCUGUGCAGGUCACACAUCUUCCGGGCUCAGCGCAUGCUACCUGCUGACCCACCUGGUUGCCCAGGCACAGGAUGGGGGUGGCGGUCCUUGGUCUCACCGCUUGGCCUGGGCCCCCCAGGAGUCUUUGAUGCCCAGUGAAGCACCCUGGGGACCCCAGGCCAAGCAAUCGGCAGCCAGAGUGGUUCAGCAGGAAAGGUUGGGAGGCGGCGGCAGACGCCAGGCUGCCCCUGCCCUCCCCGAGGCUCUUCCCGUGGCCCCUUGGGGACCCUGUAAAUGUGACCAAAGGCUGAAAUUGGAAGGAUUGCAGCAGGAUCCUUCGUGGGUUCCCGAAUUCCAAUCUGGCUUGACCGUGAGGUUGCAGAAGGUGUCUUUAGAAGUAAUAAUUGUAUGCCAUAAUAAAAGUUGGGUUAUGAGCAGCAGUGCAAAGCUGAAGGCCAAGGCUGUUCCGAUCACCAGGGUUUGGCAGGCACCCCAAGAAAGGGGCUCCUUACGCCCCAAACUGAGCUGCAUUUCUUUUGCCGCCCGCCCAACCCAUUUGCUGGCCUCCCUGUUGCUGCUGCUAACCAUGAAGUCAAGCGCGGGCCGGGCCGGGGGCGGAGCGGCGCCGCCGGGAACUGCGCGGCGGAGACAAUGGAGCGCCGGCGGGAGGCGCGCGCGGGCCCGGGAAGAGCCGAGUCGCGCCCUGCUUAGCCGCCGCGUCCGUGGGUUCGAGUCCCGCCUGGUGCAGCGGCCGGGCGGAGCGGUUGAGGAACAGCAGCGGAUCUUCCUGUGGGCCGUUGGAGAGNGGGGAAUCGCUGUUUGCAAGGCAGAACACCGGGGUUCGUCGUCUCCGCCUGCUCUUGGCUUCCUUGGAGCAGUUGUACGCUGA